GCCCGUUUAGCUCAGUGGUAGAGCGCGCCACUCGUAAGGUUAAUCAUUACAAUGGUGAGGUCGGUUGUUCAAUCCAGCCAAUGGGCA